UGGGGAAUCUUGCGCAAUGGGCGAAAGCCUGACGCAGCGACGCCGCGUGCGGGAGGACGCUCUUCGGAGUGUAAACCGCUGUUGCGGGGGACGAAGAGCGGGGUGAGCGAAAGCUUACGCUGGCUUUGACGGUACCUCGUGAGGAAGCACCGGCUAACUCCGUGCCAGCAGCCGCGGUAAGACGGAGGGUGCGAGCGUUGUCCGGAAUCAUUGGGCGUAAAGGGCGCGCAGGCGGCCCGUCAAGUCCGGGGUGAAAGGCCGGGGCUCAACCCCGUGCAGGGCCCGAGGAGACUGAUGGGCUAGAGGCAGGCAGAGGCGGGUGGAAUUCCGGGUGUAGCGGUGGAAUGCGUAGAGAUCCGGAAGAACACCGGGGGCGAAGGCGGCCCGCUGGGCCUGAAAGGCAGGCGACCCACGCGGGGCUCCGGUGACGGAGAACCGCACGGGACGCCGAAACCUUGGACCUGACGCUGAGGCGCGAAGGCGUGGGGAGCGAACCGGAUUAGAUACCCCCGUAGUCC
rnacentral:rRNA from 1 species